rnacentral:rRNA from 1 species
AAAACAUGUCUUUUUGAUUUUAAUUUAAAGUCUAAUCUGCCCCCUGAUUUAUAUUGAAGGGCUGCAGUAAUUUGACUGUACAAAGGUAGCAUAAUCAUUAGUCUUUUAAUUGAAGACUUGUAUGAAGGAUUUGAUAAAAUAUAAACUGUCUCUAAUUUAUAUUUAAAAUUUAAUUUUUUAGUUAAAAAGCUAAAAUAAAUUUAAAAGACGAGAAGACCCUAUAGAGUUUUAUAAUUUAUAAUUUAAAAUAUUUAUAUAAAAUUUUAAUAUAAUAGAUUAUAAUUUAUUUUAUUGGGGKGAUAGAAAAAUUUAUAAAACUUUUUUUUUUCAUUAACAUAAAUAAUUGAAUAUAUGAUCCUAAAUAAAGAUUAAAAGAAAAAAUUACCUUAGGGAUAACAGCGUAAUUUUUUUUUUUAGUACAAAUAAAAAAAAAAGUUUGCGACCUCGAUGUUGGAUUAAGAUAAAAUUUAAAUGCAAAAGUUUAAAAUUUUGAUCUGUUCGAUCAUUAAAAUCUUACAUGAUCUGAGU